GGGGGCGUAAUGGUUUCGACGGGGGUUUUGAAGCAAGGUAAGCGGGCGGAAGCGCGCAACUUCCUUAAAAGGCGUAAUCUAAAUAUAAACGCAAACAAUAAUAAAGUUGCAGCUGCCGCUUAAGCGGUAGCCGUCGUACCCGGAAGGACUGCGGUCCGGGAUAUGGCGUGACACAGCAGUGAACGUGAACCGUCUUAAGCUUUGCGGCCGGUCAUGAUUUUAUGAAGCUACCCGUACCGCAGGGCGGUGCCUCCCGGCGGAUACGGGGAAAUUAAUAAGGUACCUGCGCCCGGAGAAAACAGUGUGAAUGGACUUUCGGACGGGGGUUCGAUUCCCCCCGCCUCCACCA
rnacentral:tmRNA from 1 species